AUUGAACGCUGGCGGCAGGCCUAACCCAUGCAAGUCGAACGAGUGGCGGACGGGUGAGUAAUGUCUGGGAAACUGCCUGAUGGAGGGGGCUAACUACUGGAACCGGUAGCUAAUACCGCAUAACAUCGGAUUUGCCCCGAGGGGAUUAGCUAGUAGGGGGGGUAAAGGCUCACCAAGGCAACGAUCCCUAGCGGGUCUGAAAGGAUGACCACCCACACUGGAACGUAGACACGGUCCAGACUCCUACCAUGUCCAUCAGGUUACAAUAUUGCACAAUGGGCGCAAGCCUGAUUCAGCCAUGCCGCGUGUGUGAAGAAGGCCUGAGGGUUGUAAAGUACUUUCAGCGGGGAGGCGUUACCCGCAGAAGAAGCACCGGCUAACUCCGUGCCAGCAGCCGCGGUAAUUC
rnacentral:rRNA from 1 species